AAUUGGACCAGGGGGGCAACCCUGAUCCAGCCAUGCCGCGUGUGUGAAGAAGUUANUCNNAUUGUNANGCACUUUAAGUUGGGNNNNNGGGCUUUAGGCUAAUACCCUGAAGUUUUGACGUUCACAACAGAAUAAGCACCUGCUAACUCUGUGCCAGCAGCCGAGGUAAUACAGAGUGUGCAAGCGUUAACCGGAAUUACUGGGCGUAAAGCGAGCGUAGGUGGUUCAGUAAGAUGGGUGUGAAAUCCCCGAGCUUAACCUGGGAACUGCUUUCAUAACUGCUGAGCUAGAGUACGGUAGAGGGUAGUGGAAUUUCCUGUGUAGCGGUGAAAUGCGUAGAUAUAGGAAGGAACACCAGUGGCGAAGGCGACUACCUGGACUGAUACUGACACUGAGGUGCGAAAGCGUGGGGAGCAAAC
rnacentral:rRNA from 1 species